UAGGGAAUAUUGCGCAAUGGACGAAAGUCUGACGCAGCGACGCCGCGUGAGGGAUGAAGGUUUUCGGAUCGUAAACCUCUGUCGGAAGGGAAGAAAGCGCAUGGUGCCAAUCAGCCAUGCGUUGACGGUACCUUCAAAGGAAGCGCCGGCUAACUCCGUGCCAGCAGCCGCGGUAAUACGGAGGGCGCAAGCGUUAAUCGGAAUUACUGGGCGUAAAGCGCGCGUAGGCUGUUGUGUAAGUCAGGGGUGAAAUCCCGCGGCUCAACCGCGGAACUGCCCUUGAUACUGCGCGACUUGAAUCCGGGAGAGGGUGGCGGAAUUCCAGGUGUAGGAGUGAAAUCCGUAGAUAUCUGGAGGAACACCAGUGGCGAAGGCGGUCGCCUGGACCGGAAUUGACGCUGAGGCGCGAAAGCGUGGGGAGCAAACAGG
rnacentral:rRNA from 1 species